rnacentral:rRNA from 1 species
CUCGUAGGCGGUUCGUCGCGUCCGGUGUGAAAGUCCAUCGCUUAACGGUGGAUCUGCGCCGGGUACGGGCGGGCUGGAGUGCGGUAGGGGAGACUGGAAUUCCCGGUGUAACGGUGGAAUGUGUAGAUAUCGGGAAGAACACCAAUGGCGAAGGUAGGUCUCUGGGCCGUUACUGACGCUGAGGAGCGAAAGCGUGGGGAGCGAACA